rnacentral:lncRNA from 1 species
AUUCGCUGACUUCAUUUUGUAUCUUAUUUGAAUUAUUUGAGAACCCCUUCAAACCCCUCCCUUUGAUAACCCUAAAAUUUUGCUCUCCUCUUUUCUUGCAUUGUUACUAACGCAAGGUACUUUCCCCAGAUUCCUCUGUUUUCUCCAUGUUUUAUUUGUUUCUUUUUAUCUGUUGUUAGCUGAGUGUGUUUGCUUUCACUCUUCUUCCCAUAUUGUGUUAGUUGAUUAUUUUUGUGAAAUUUCAUUAAAGCUUUAUUGUUUUUUUUUUGUGCUAUUCACAUAUCACAGUUAUUCUCCGUUUCGUUGUCUAACAUGUUUGCUCGGUCAACAGUCGAAGAUCUGUCAGUUUCGUUUUUAUCGACUAUAUAAUUGACUCAGUUUUCAUUCGCAUAAAUUCUUGUUCCCAUUCAUUCUUUUACAAAGUAGAUUACUAUUUAGGGUUUCUGAUUUUACUGUUUCUCUCAAACUUCCUUCGCAGGAAUUUUCUUUUUCGUUGAGUUGGGGACCAAAACCCUAGCUUUCACUUUCAGCUUCAAAACCCCAUCUUUUUUCAAAUCCAAGUAAUUUUGAGAAUCAGCAGUGAUUGGCUGUGGUAGAUUCCACGGUUCUUGGUGUUUCUUUGAUUAAUUCAUCGUUGAGUUGGGAACCAAAACCCUAGCUUUCACUUUCAGCUUCAAAACCCCAUCUUUUUUCAAACCCAAGUAACUUUGAGAAUCAGCAGUGAUUGGCUGUGGUAGAUUCCACGGUUCUUGGUGUUUCUUUGAUUAAUUCAGACACAGAGAGGGAGCAGGUUCUUCAACACUUUGAUAAAUCUGAGCCUCCAAAUUCCGAUUUUUCCUACUCCCCACUCAAAAGGUUUUGGUUAUUUUGACCUGAAAAUGGUGAAGUUCAGUUUAUAAUCCAACUUUGAAUUCUUACUUUUCGCCUGCGACCCCUGCUCUUCUAUUUUCUUCCUAUUCUCUCUUCUACUUUUUGUGGGUGUGUUCUGUUUUCUUGGACAGGUGCCUUAUUUUUCCGGCGAGGAUUUACGGCAGCUACAUUACUUCCGGCGACCCCCGUUCAGACUUUUGGCAGGACGCAAAAGAACUACAUGUUCCGAUAAACUUCAGGAAAACUUACCCCAGGUACUAGUCGCGGCAGCGUGGCCAGUUCGCGGCGUUUGGGAGUGAAGAGCUAAGCAACACCGGCUGGGACGUGCAAGAGUCGGUAGCAGUUGACCUUGGGCGCAUCAAAGCCUACUUUCAGGUUUUUCCACCGGGAGUUGGUACCUCCCGCUCUCUU